rnacentral:rRNA from 1 species
GAUGAACGCUGGCGGCGUGCCUAAUACAUGCAAGUCGAGCGAACAGACGAGGAGCUUGCUCCUCUGACGUUAGCGGCGGACGGGUGAGUAACACGUGGAUAACCUACCUAUAAGACUGGGAUAACUUCGGGAAACCGGAGCUAAUACCGGAUAAUAUAUUGAACCGCAUGGUUCAAUAGUGAAAGACGGUCUUGCUGUCACUUAUAGAUGGAUCCGCGCUGCAUUAGCUAGUUGGUAAGGUAACGGCUUACCAAGGCAACGAUGCGUAGCCGACCUGAGAGGGUGAUCGGCCACACUGGAACUGAGACACGGUCCAGACUCCUACGGGAGGCAGCAGUAGGGAAUCUUCCGCAAUGGGCGAAAGCCUGACGGAGCAACGCCGCGUGAGUGAUGAAGGUCUUCGGAUCGUAAAACUCUGUUAUUAGGGAAGAACAAAUGUGUAAGUAACUGUGCACGUCUUGACGGUACCUAAUCAGAAAGCCACGGCUAACUACGUG